GCCCUUGGUUCUGGUUUCUGGCAAUUACUCCCCUGACAAACAGCCUGUGAUCUUGGGCAGGAGCCCAAAUAACUUCUCAAUGGCAAUUUCCUUAUGCAUAAAACAAGGGGAUGGGACGAAAGAAGUGUUGAUGCCAAUUCUAUAAAAUGCUGUAGACAAAGAGAUGGGCAGGAAGCAGGAUUUUAGGUCUCCUGGCCCCGGGGCACUGAAAAGGACUAAAGCAGCAGAAAUUUAGAAUCAGGCCUCCAGAUUCUAAAUCCCAGUCCUCCGGAGUCACUCAGGCCAGAAACGUCCAGAGAAUGCUGGCAACCGCUCCACCUCCUUCCCUUCUGAGCAAGGCCAGUCAGGCUUAGUCAAGAGUUUCUAAGGCCCUUCCUUUCUGGGUCCAGGGUUCCCAGGCCAGUCUGGGCCCGUCUUCAGCAAAACCUGGUCUCCCCUCAGGCCUCUUUUGUCCUCAUCUUUAUUCUUGGGAUAGUUAUCUAAUCCUGCUUUGCCAGAGACAGUUUUGAAAUGCAGAUAGAUAAAAGGCCAGAGGAGUGCCCCCGGAAAGAACUUUCUAGUUUUCUAAAGACUCAAGGAAUGCGCAGUUCCCAGCCCCCUCCUGCCGCCCACUUUCCGAAGCUGGAAGCUGAUCUCGGGAACAAAGACAGCACCGGAGUUCAGCUCCCUCCUCCCCACAGCAGCCAACUCCCCGGGCAGGGAAAAAACCCGGCGAUGACGCAGCAGCUCUGAGCUCCAUCCUGCAGAAGAGAGGGCGUUGUUUUCUAGAGGGUUUGGGACAGCUAAAAAUGUCCUUGGGGAAGGGGCGAAAGCUGCCAGUGGAAUCCUGCAGACUCACUCCUACCUCUCAGAGGGCCGAGGGUCCUUUUAGCAAAAACAAGUUACAGAAACUACAAAAGGCUGUGUCAUCGGCCUUCCCCAAAGUGCUGUGGGGCCUGGGCCACCACCAGGCCUUUCCCUCACAGGCCCUGAACGUCCCUAGGCCAAGGAGCAAGGGAGCGGAAGGAUUCUGCGUAGGUAGAAUCCUCUUUCUGGGGGACAACUCGGCGAAAUUAUCUUGAAAAAGAGGUUUCUCACCCCCGGGCCAAGACCUCAGUGCUGCUAGCUCCCUUCUCUAGUUUAUUCCUCACACAAUGUCCUUGGCCCUGGGCCCUGCAGCCUGUUUGUGGAGCUUCCCGGAAGGCCUGGCUGUGGAGGCCCAGCUGGAGCCGCGGGGGACGUGGGAGGACAGCUUGACAGGAGGCCGGAUCGCAGCUCUCCAGACCGGCUGCGUCAGCUCCUGAGCUCUGCAGGCCCCGCACUGGCUUCACCCAGCGUUUCCAGACCUUCCUUCCCUCCCCCGGCAGCCCGCCCCCCUCUCUAUUUUCUCUGGCAUCCGUGGAGCCCUGCACCAUAUGCUUCCCUGCACCAUCUCGCUUCAGUUCCCCCCGCCGCCGCCUGUGAGAGAGAUGCUGCCAUUAACCCCUUGGACGGAUGAGGACACUGAGGCGUGGGCUGUCUGAGCAUCACUCAUGCCUGGCACACGCUAGGAGCUCAAAAUGUGUCUGUUGAGGAGUUCGCAUUGUGGCUCAGUGGAAAUGAAUCUGACCAGUAUCUAUGAGGAUGCAGGUUCGAUCCUUGGCCCUCACUCAUGGGUUAAGGCUUUGGCGUUGCCGUGAGCUGUGGUGUAGAUCCCAGAUGCGGCUUGGAUCUGGCGUGGAUGUGGCUGUGGUGUAGGCCCGCAGCUACAGCUCUGAUUCAACCCCCUAGCCUGGGAACCUCCAUAUGCCAUGAGUGUGGCCCUAAAAAAAAAAAAGGGUUGAGUAAUGAUUAAGUGAAUAAUUUGGAAUAGCAUCUCUUUUAGAAUUAAAGACCAGGCAGGGGGUGUGCCCCGGUGGCCUGGCAGGAUCUUUAACCCACUCAGGCAAGGGAUUGAACCCACGUCCUCAUGGAUACUGGUCCUGUCAUGCUUUGAUAGGAAUAAAAUGCUUUUCAGCGUGACACGACAUGACCACCCAGCAGGAUGGCGUGAGAUGGCACUGAGCUGUACUGACACAGGGAACUGCUUCCCUCUGCGGAACUUCUAGACAGACUGAUCCACCAGGGCAGGGAAGGGGGUGGCCCAGAAGGCUGCCUUUGGUUUCCAGGGAGCUCCAGCCUCCAGAGCGGAGGGGAGCGAGCCCAGGCUCAGGCCUCCUGUCGCUCAACUGCAGGACUCACUGCGGGAGGCGGGAGGCGUCUCAUUAAUCACCCUCUGGGCCUGUGCGUGGGCCUCCCACACAGCCUGAAGGAAUCCCAUCCACAGUCUGGGAUCCCUGAUCGGUUCAGUACCCUCUUGAGGUCCCAGGCAGAUGUUUGGGUGAGCCCUGCAUACCCAGCAUGGUGCCCAUGAAACACAGCUCCUCAUAGGAGUUUCCUUUUUGGCUCAGUGGUUUACGAACCCGACUAGUAUCCAUGAGGAGGAGAGGUUGAUCCCUGGCCUUGAUCAGUGGGUUAAGGAUCCGGCCUUGCAAUGAGCUGUGGUGUAGGCCAGAGAUGCGGCUCAGAUCUGGUGGUGUUGUGGUUGUGGUGUAGUCUGGCAGCUGCAGCUCUGAUUCGAUCUCUAGCCUGGGAGCCUCCCUCUGCUGUGGUAUGUCCCUUAAAAGACAAAAGACAAAAAAAAAAAAAAAAAAAA
rnacentral:lncRNA from 1 species